GACGAACGCUGGCGGCGUGCCUAAUACAUGCAAGUAGAACGCAGUUGCGAACGGGUGAGUAACGCGUAGGUAACUGCCUCAUAGCGGGGGAUAACUAUUGGAAACGAUAGCUAAUACCGCAUACUGUGAGAUGUACCUGCGUGGUAUUAGCUAGUUGGUGAGGCAAAGGCUCACCAAGGCGACGAUACAUAGCCGACCUGAGAGGGUGGUCGAGCAAACUGGGGAUGGGGACAGGGCCAAACUCCCUAGGGGAGCAGCCGUAGGGGAUCUUCGGAAAUGGACGGAAAUCUGGACGAAGAACGCCGCGUUGUUGGAGAAGGUUUUCAGGUCGUAAAACUCUGUUGUUAGAGGAGCGGUAACUAACCAGAAAGGAACGGCUAACUACGUGCCAGCAGCCGCGGUAAUAC
rnacentral:rRNA from 1 species